CAGGGUGACAGGUGGUGCAUGGUUGUCGUCAGCUCGUGUCGUGAGAUGUUGGGUUAAGUCCCGCAACGAGCGCAACCCUCGACCUUAGUUGCCAGCAUUCAGUUGGGCACUCUAAGGUGACUGCCGGCUAAAAGUCGGAGGAAGUGGGGAUGACGUCAAAUCAUCAUGCCCCUUAUGACCUGGGCUACACACGUGCUACAAUGGGCGGUACAAAGGGUCGCGAACCCGCGAGGGGGAGCCAAUCCCAAAAAGCCGCUCUCAGUUCGGAUUGCAGGCUGCAACUCGCCUGCAUGAAGCCGGAAUCGCUAGUAAUCGCGGAUCAGCAUGCCGCGGUGAAUACGUUCCCGGGCCUU
rnacentral:rRNA from 1 species